rnacentral:lncRNA from 1 species
CCAACAGCAGCAGCUUCAGGAGUAUUUGCAUGGCAUGAGGACACCUCCACUCUUUGCCCUCUAGUGUUAAACUCAGGCAUCUUUUCUGUAAUGUGAAAGGAAAGCGUGUUUUCAGCACAGGUGACAUUCUAAAAUUGGGUCUUCCCUGUGAAGAAGCUGAGGAGAUAAACAGCAAGAAUAAAUUCACAAAGCCUUGUAAGAGAAGAGCAGAGCGUUUUCAUAGACGGGAUGUGGAGGUCCUGGAAGCACAGCCCAGCAGAUGACUCACCUCUGGAUGGAAUCAACACACAAAGCAGAUAAAAAGCUGAACAUUAAAGACCACAUUGUUAAAGCAGAGAGCCAAAUUGUUCCUCCACCAUUCCCUAUCCCAGACUUCACAUCUAACAAGGUUAAUUUGUCCCUAUAA